rnacentral:rRNA from 1 species
UUGGGCGUAAGGGCGUGUAGGCGGUCUUUUAAGUCAGGGGUGAAACCCCGGGGCUCAACCCCGGGCCUGCCUCUGAAACUGGGAGACUUGAGUGCUCUAGAGGGCAGUGGAAUUCCCGGUGUAGCAGUGAAAUGCGUAGAGAUCGGGAGGAACACCAGUGGCGAAGGCGACUGCCUGGGGAGUAACUGACGCUGAGGCGCGAAAGCUGGGGGAGCAAACGGGAUUAGAUACCCCGGUAGUCCCAGCCGUAAACGAUGAGUGCUAGGUGUAGGGGGUAUCGACCCCCCCUGUGCCGGAGUUAACGCAAUAAGCACUCCGCCUGGGGAGUACGGCCGCAAGGUUGAAACUCAAAGGAAUUGACGGGGGCCCGCACAAGCAGCGGAGCAUGUGGUUUAAUUCGAAGCAACGCGUAGAACCUUACCAGGGCUUGACAUCCUUCGGACCUUGCAGAGAUGUGAGGGUGCCCUUCGGGGAGCGAAGAGACAGGUGGUGCAUGGUUGUCGUCAGCUCGUGUCGUGAGAUGUUGGGUUAAGUCCCGCAACGAGCGCAACCCCUAUGGUAUGUUGCCAGCACUUCGGGUGGGCACUCAUGCCAGACUGCCGGUGACAAACCGGAGGAAGGUGGGG